rnacentral:lncRNA from 10 species
AAAUAAUAUUAGCUGGUAUGUUUUUCUGGCUUUAUAAUGUGGUUCAGACUUCUGUUGAAAUUCUGGCUGUAUCUACAUUGCCUUAGAGUAAUGGGAUAUUUCUUUCUUUUUUUUUUUUUCUCAGCUGGAGUUUCACUGUUGUCGCCCAUGCUGGAGUGCAAUGGUGUGUCCUGGCUCACUGCAAUCUCUGCCUCUCAGGUUCAAGUGAUUCUCCUAGGUCAGCCUCCUGAGUAGCUGGGAUGACAGGCACCUGCCACAAUGCCUGGAUAAUUUUUGUAUGCUUAGUAGAGACGGGGUUUCACCUUGUUGGCCAGGCUGGUCUUGAAUUCCUGACUUCCUGAUCUGUCUGCCUCAGCCUUCCAAAGUGUUGGAUUACAGGCAUGAGCCACCAUGACCAGCCUGUCUUUUUUUUUUUUCAAAGCCACCCUUGGUUAUGAAAUGUAAAAUAUGCACCAGUGAAUAUUACUUUGCUGAAUAUUGCCUAGUGAAUAUUAAGUAUUUAUUCUCACCUUUCAAACAUGAACUUGCGAAUUCAACAUGUGAAGACUUACAACUUGAUAAACCAGCUUCAGGUGGAAUAUUGUAAAGCAAAUCAGUCAUCACAUCAUUUUAUCUGUUCAGUGUGCAUCCCCGAACAGCAUUUAUGUAUUCCUACACAGCCACUAUCUCAUCACAUCUGACAAAAUGAACAAUGAUUUUUUUGGUAUCAGCUCAUAUGCAGCCCUUAGCUGAGUCUCCUCACUCUUUUCUUUCUUUCUUUCUUUUUUUUUUUUUUUUUUUUGAGACAGAGUCUUGCACUGUCGCCCAGGCUGCAGUGCAAUGGUCUAAUCUCGGCUCACUGCAGCCUCUGCCCCCUGUGCUCCAACAAUUCUCCUGCCUCAGCCUCCUGAGGAGCUGGGAUUACAGGCGCAUGCCACCACACCCGGCUAAUUUUUGUAUUUUUAGUAGAGACGGGGUUUCGCCAUAUUGGCCAGGCUGGUCUUGAACUCCUGACCUCAGGUGAUCCUCCCACCUCGGCCUCCCAGAGUGCUGGGAUUACAGGUGUGAGCCACUGCACCUAGCCAAGUUUCCUCACUCUUACCUGAACAGUAUCUCAUUUUCUCAUUAUCUGAAAAAUUUUGCUUUAAAUCUGGAUCCAAACAAUCUUCAUGUGCUAACUUUGGUUGUUAUGCCUCUUGUAAUCUAAACAGGCCUCUGCUUACUUUUUAAAUUUCCCAUUCCAUUAAUUCUUUGUGCAAAGUUUUUUAUUUUUAUUUAUUUUUUUAAUAGCAUGCUCACAAGGUUGAAGGGGUAGUAAAGAAGAUCUUGUUGUUUCCGUGUAGAUGAAAGUUUAGCCUGAAAUGUGCCAGUUUGCAGCAACCAAAGGAGGAGGGUUAUUACGGUCUUGAGCAGUUAGUAGCAAAGGGCUGCUUCCAAAUAGUAUUUGCAGGCCAGGUGCAGUGGCUCACACCUAUAAUCCCAGCACUUUGGGAGGCUGAGGUGGGUGGAUCACCUGAGGUAAGGAGUUCGAGACCAGCCUGGCCAACAUGGUGAAACCCCAUCUCUACUAAAAAUACAAAAAAUUAGCCAGGCAUGGUGGCUGGCACCUGUAAUCCCAGCUACUCGGGAGGCUGAAGCAGGAGAAUCACUUGAAGCUGGGAGGCAGAGGCUGCUAUGAACUGAGAUCACAGCACUGCACUCCAGCCUGGGCAACAGAGUGAAACUCUGCAACAACAACAACAACAACAGUAAAAAAGUAAGUUCUAUUUGCCACUGAAGUCAUUUCUGGAAUUAAAACAAUAAAAUGACAUUUCUACUAAAAUGUUUUUCUAGCUAGAGGUGACAAGUGUGGCCAUAAGUCCUUCAUGGAAAAGCCUGGCUCUGAGCUGCAGUCCUGGCACUUUCCAUUGCCCCUGAAGCCCCCAAUCCUGUACACAGCCAUCUUCAUCAGUGCAAGAAUAGUGACCACUGCCUCCAUGGUGUUUAGAGGCACCAUGGUGGCUCACAGUACACCUAAGUACUUGAAUGAAGUCUAAUUUGCUGGAUUUUAUCUGCUCUGUUAUUCCUGGGUCAGUCUUAAGAGUGACUAAAUAUUGAUGAUUGAGUUUCUUUUCUUUUCUUUUCUUUUCUUUUUUUUUUGAGGCAGAGUUUUACUCUCGUUGCCCAGGCUAGAGUCCAGUGGUGUGAUCUCCACUCACUGCAACCUCCACCUCCUGGGUUCAGGUGAGUCUCCUGCCUCAGCCUCCUGAGUAGCUGGGAUUACAGAAAUGCGCCACCAUACCUGGCUAAUUUUUGUGUUUUUAGCAGAGAUGGGGUUUCACCAAGUUGGUCAGGCUGGUCUUGAACUCCUGAACUCAGGUGACCCACCCGCCUUGGCCUUUCAAUGUGCUGGAAUGACAGGCAUGAGCCACCAUACCCGGCCUGAUGUGAUGAUUGAGUUUCUUACUAUAUCUGUGUUCC